GAAGCGGAGCGCGUAGUGGGUGUUUGGCGCGCGCGUGGCGGUGGACGUUAAACUCCGCUCCGGAGCGGGCGGGCGACAAGCAAGUCCGCCCGUCCCGGCGCCUUCGUGACGCCUCCCGCAAUUUUGCAUGCUGCUUGAUAAAAGCCUCAGCACUUGGCAAACUCUACUGUGACUCUUCAUGGCUCUACCCCUGUAUCAGCAUACUUGAAGACAGCACAGCAUGGAUUCAAAUCUUAGACACAAGAAGUCUUUUGAAUAAGAAAAAAACCUGAUCUGAUUACAGUGCAAAACAAAUCACGUGUAGAUGUCCAGAAAAUGUCUCAAGCAUUUCAAGGAGUGUCCACAUUCUGACUUUUCUUUUUAUGUGAAUUAAAACAAUGGAAUAAAUAAAAACACUCUUACUUAAAAAACCUUUAU
rnacentral:lncRNA from 1 species